rnacentral:rRNA from 1 species
AUUGAACGCUGGCGGCAUGCCUUACACAUGCAAGUCGAACGGCAGCGCGGACUUCGGUCUGGCGGCGAGUGGCGAACGGGUGAGUAAUACAUCGGAACGUACCCUGUUGUGGGGGAUAACUAGUCGAAAGAUUAGCUAAUACCGCAUCCGACCUGAUGGUGAAAGUGGGGGACCGCAAGGCCUCACGCAGCAGGAGCGGCCGAUGUCUGAUUAGCUAGUUGGUGGGGUAAAGGCCCACCAAGGCGACGAUCAGUAGCUGGUCUGAGAGGACGAUCAGCCACACUGGGACUGAGACACGGCCCAGACUCCUACGGGAGGCAGCAGUGGGGAAUUUUGGACAAUGGGGGCAACCCUGAUCCAGCAAUGCCGCGUGUGUGAAGAAGGCCUUCGGGUUGUAAAGCACUUUUGUCCGGAAAGAAAUAGCGCUGGUUAAUACCUGGCGUGGAUGACGGUACCGGAAGAAUAAGCACCGGCUAACUACGUG